UGGUUUCCUCCAACAUUGUAGCAGAACACGAAACCUUGCCGGCCAAGGCUUGGAAUAUGCCUAAACCCAGCAUGAGAUAAGGUCACCGCCAAGAUGCAUGCAGACAUGGGGAUCGGAACGGAGAGGAGGGCAGUUGGCACGGCGACGGCCGUGUGAUCGAUCAAGUGCCCAAUCACUGGCUUGUCCUUGUCCUCUUCUUCCCUGCGCUGCUUUACUUGCUGAAUGCUGAUGCAGGCAGGAUCGCAUGCAAGAAGCCAAGAACAGGAGGAGAAGAAAGCUCCUCGUCGGUCGGUCGCUGCUGCAUGAUGGUCUCUCCGGC